rnacentral:lncRNA from 1 species
UGUUAGAAAUUGAUGUUCUUCUUAAGCCCAUAUCCAUUGUGAUCCAAGCCCAUCCAUUGUAGGAUCCCUCCAUAACAUUUUGUAUGUGAUACACUUGGCUUGUUGCAAGUAUCACACUUGUAUUAUUGCAUGUAGUUUCCCUUACCACUUGUAUAGAUGCAUGUAUUUUCUUUACCACUUGUCAUGUUGCAUGUAUUUCCCUUGACACUUGUCUUCAUGCAUGUAAGCUAUGUAGUUGCUCCUUCUACUAUAAAUAGGAGUUCACAAUGUACCUUGUAUCAUCCAAUAAUUAGCAACAUAACAUCUUCCUCUAAAACUUUAUUGUCUUUCUAGUUUUCUAGUUUCUCUAACCUUCUUCUCCACCACUCUAUACAAUAGCCUUUGUUUUUUCUUACAUGGUAUCAAGAGCUUCAUUGAUCUUAACGGGUCUGUGAGGAAACAAAACCAGCAAGAAAACAUUCACAAAAAAAACCUUUAUACACCAUAAAUGGCUUCCAACAAUAGUUCUUUACCUCCACCUCCUAUGUUUGUAGGAGAAAACUAUCAUUUGUGGGCUGCAAAAAUGAAAACUUAUGGGAUGUUUGUGGAAAAUGGAAGCACCCCACCGGUUCUUCCAAACAACCCAACAGUAGCUCAAAUAAGAAAUCACAAUGAGGAAGUGGCAAAAGAAGGAAGAGCACUUGCCAUAAUACAUGUAGCUUUACAUGAUGAUAUAUUUAUCAAGAUCUUGAAUCUUGAGACUGCAAAAGAAGCUUGGGACAAGCUGAAGAAAGAGUUUCAAGGGAGUGAAAGAACAAAGAAGAUGCAAGUGUUGAACUUGAGAAGAGAGUUUGAAGCACUAAAACUGAAAGAAACCGAAAUUGUUAGAGAAUUUUCUGACAGAAUUUUGAAGGUGGUUUCACAAAUCAGAUUGCUGGGAGAGAAUCUCAGUGAUCAAAGAGCCGUGGAAAAAAAUUUAGUGUGUCUUCCAGAGAGGUUUGAAGCAAAAAUAUCCUCUCUCGAAGAAACUAAGGACUUUUCUCAAAUCACACUUGCAGAGCUUGUUAAUGUUUUGCAAGCUACUGAGCAGAGAAGAUCUUUAAGGUUGGAAGAAANNNNNNNNNNNNNNNNNNNNNNNNNNNNNNNNNNNCUUUUGGUGAGAAGAAAGGGAAAGGAAAAAAGGAGGAUGUCAACAACAAAGGAGAGAGCUGGAAAAAGAAGUUUCCAACUUGUCAACAUUGCAAAAAAGAUACUCAUUUAGAGAAGCAUUGUUGGUAUAGGCCAGCUUUUAAAUGCAGAGCCUGCAAUCAACUUGGUCAUGUGGAAAAGGUUUGCAAAAACAAAGCAAACCAGCAGAGACAACAAGCCCAAGUUGUCGAACACCACCAACAAGAGGAGCAAUUAUUCAUGGCUUCUUGUUAUUCAAUCGGAAGUAGCAAAGAAACAUGGCUAAUAGAUAGCGGGUGCACCAAUCACAUGACUCAUAAUGUUGGCAUUUUUAAGGAACUUGAUAAGUCCUUCUUCUGUAAAGUUACUAUUGGCAAUGGAGAACAUGUUGAUGUCAAAGGAAAAGGUGUUGUAGCUGUUGAAACUCCCUCAGGUAUCAAAUAUAUCUUAGAUGUUUUAUUUGUACCUGAAAUAAAUCAAAGUCUUUUAAGUGUGGGGCAAAUGAUGGAAAAAAACUAUUCAUUGCAUUUCAAAGAUAAGAGAUGCACUAUUCUAGAUCCUUCUGGAUCUAAGUUAAUGACUGUUGAAAUGAAGGGUAAAAGUUUUCCAAUAGAGUGGAAAUAAACAACCAUGCAUGCUUUUCCGAGUAGUGUUAAUGAUUCCUCCUUGUGGCAUAAAAGGUUGGGUCACUUUAGUUACUCAACCUUGAAACAAAUGAGUUCUCAUGAUUUGGUUGAAAAUUUACCAAUCAUCGAAGAUGUUGUUGACAUGUGUGAUGUAUGUCAAUAUGGAAAACAAAGUAGAUUGUCAUUUCCCGCUGCGUCAACCUGGAGAGCUUCUGAAAAGUUACAGUUGAUACACACUGAUGUGUGUGGUCCGAUGCCAACGACAUCUUUAAAUGACAGCAAGUAUUUUCUGCUAUUUAUAGAUGAUUUGACAAGGAUGAGUUGGGUAUUUUUUCUUAAGCAGAAGUCAGAUGGGUUUCCUGCGUUUCAGAAUUUCAAACUUAUGGUUGAAAAAGAGACUGAUUGUCAGAUUAAAAAGCUCAGAUCUGAUAAUGGAACUGAGUAUAUAGCAGGGGAAUUUAAAACCUUUUGUGAGCAAGCUGGAAUUCAACAUCAAUUUAUUGUUCCUUACACUCCUCAACAAAAUGGAGUGAGCGAAAGGAAGAACAGGACCAUCAUGGAGAUGGCCCGGUGUUUGCUCUUUGAGAAAGGUAUUCCUAAAACUUUUUGGGCUGAGGUUGUAAACACCUCACUUUACUUGUUGAAUUUGUUGCCUACCAAAGCCUUGAAGGGGAAAACACCCUUUGAAGCAUAUGAAAGAAAGCCAUCGGUUGAACAUUUAAGAAUAUUUGGAUGCGUGUGUUAUGUUCACAUUCCAAGUGUGAAAACAGAUAAAUUGGAAACCAAGUCUGUGGUUGGUAUCUUUUUGGGGUACAACAGUAACUCCAAAGGGUAUCGAAUUUAUAAUUUGGAGACCAAAAAAAUUCUGGUUAGCAGAGAUGUGAAGUUUGAUGAGUACUCUANNNNNNNNNNNNNNNNNNNNNNNNNNNNNNNNNNNNNNNNNNNNNNNNNNNNNNNNNNNNNNNNNNNNNNNNNNNNNNNNNNNNNNNNNNGGAAGAUGAAAAUUCAAACUAUGAUAGUGAUGAUGAUUUUCCAAUCCGAGGUACUAGAACCUUGGAUGAUAUUUAUGCAAGGUGCAUAGCUACAUUAGAGCCUACACGGUAUGCUGAAGCUGCUAAUGUUGAAGGAUGGAAAGUUGCCAUGUAGGAGGAGAUGAAGAUGAUAGAAAAAAAUCAAACAUGGCAGCUUGUAGACAAACCAGAAAAUCAAAAGAUUAUUGGUGUUAAGUGGGUUUAUAGAACCAAACUCAAUCCUGAUGGUUCUAUAAAUAAACUUAAGGCCAGAUUGGUGGUAAAAGGUUAUUUUCAACAACAUGGUGUUGAUUUUUCAGACACUUUUGCACCUGUUGCAAGACAUGAUACAAUUAGGUUGUUGGUUGCCUUAGCAGCGAAAUUGGGCUGGAAAAUUUAUCAUUAAAUCAGCUUUUUUAAAUGGGUUGCUUGAUGAAGACAUUUAUGUCGACCAACCUGGAGGUUUUAAGGUUGCAGGAAGUGAAAAUAAAUUUUACAAGCUUCACAAAGCCCUCUAUGGCUUAAAACAAGCACCGAGAGCAUGGUAUAGCAGAAUUGAUGGCUAUCUCCUGCAAAGUGGUUUUAAAAGAAGUGAAAAUGAAGCUACUUUGUAUGUUGAUGAUUUGUUGGUUAUAGGGAAUGAAUCCAAUUCUCUAAGUCAAUUCAAGCAAGCUAUGGAGAAUGAAUUUGAGAUGACAGAUUUGGGUGAAAUGAAAUAUUUNNNNNNNNNNNNNNNNNNNNNNNNNNNNNNNNUCUUGGAAUGGAGAUUUUUCAGUCAAGUGUUGGAAUCUUCAUUUCACAAAAGAAAUAUGCUUUGGAGGUAUUAAAGAAGUUUCAUAUGGAUAAGUGCAAGCCUGUUUCCACACCUUUAGUUGUUAAUGAAAAAUUAUCAAAGGAUGAUGGUGAUAAUGGUGCAGAUGCUUCUAUUUAUAGAAGUAUAAUUGGAAGUUUGUUGUAUCUUUCAGCAACCAGGCCUGAUAUAAUGUUUGCUGCUAGCUUACUUUCCAGGUUCAUGCAUUCUCCAAGUCAAGUUCAUCUUGGUGCAGCUAAGAGAGUUUUGAGGUAUAUAAAGGGUACAACUGUUUAUGGUUUGCAUUUCUUGAAAAAUGAAAGUGGAGACCUCCAAGGAUAUACAGAUAGUGACUGGGCUGGAAGUGUAGAUGAUGCGAAAAGUACCUCUAGUUAUGUUUUCUCAUUUGGCAGUGCUGUGUUCUCAUGGAAUUCAAGGAAGCAAGAAGUGGUCGCCCAAUCAUCAGCUGAAGCUGAGUAUAUUUAUGCUGCUGCAGCAACAAAUCAAACUAUUUGGCUAAGGGAGAUUUUAUCAGAUGUGGGACAAUUUCAAAUCAAAGCUACUAUCAUAUGGGUGGAUGACAAAUCUGUUAUUGCCAUAGCAAAGAAUCCAGUCCAACAUGGAAGAACCAAACACAUCAAGGUUAAAUAUCAUGCUAUUAGAGAAGCUGAAAAGUCAAAGGAAAUCAGUUUGGAGCAUUGCAAUUCAGAAAAUCAAAUUGCAGAUAUAAUGACUAAAGCUCUUUCUAAGGGAAAGUUUGAAGAGUUGAGGUCAAUGCUUGAAGUAUUCAAGAAAAACAUCAAGGAGGAGUGUUAUAAAUUGAUGUUCUUCUUAAGCUCAUAUCCAUUGUGAUCCAAGCCCAUCCAUUGUAGGAUCCCUCCAUAACAUUUUGUAUGUGAUACACUUGGCUUGUUGCAAGUAUCACACUUGUAUUAUUGCAUGUAGUUUCCCUUACCACUUGUAUAGAUGCAUGUAUUUUCUUUACCACUUGUCAUGUUGCAUGUAUUUCUAUUGACACUUGCCUUCAUGCAUGUAAGCUAUGUAGUUGCUCCUUCUACUAUAAAUAGGAGUUCACAAUGUACCUUGUAUCAUCCAACAAUUAGCAACAUAACAUCUUCC